rnacentral:rRNA from 1 species
UACAGAGGUCUCAAGCGUUGUUCGGAUUCAUUGGGCGUAAAGGGUGCGUAGGCGGCGCGGUAAGUCGGGUGUGAAAUCUCGGAGCUUAACUCCGAAACUGCAUUCGAUACUGCCGUGCUUGAGGACUGGAGAGGAGACUGGAAUUUACGGUGUAGCGGUGAAAUGCGUAGAUAUCGUAAGGAAGACCAGUGGCGAAGGCGGGUCUCUGGACUGGUAUUGACGCUGAGGUGCGAAAGCGUGGGGAGCAAACAGG